GGUUCCGUAACUCAACUGGAUAGAGUAUGGGUUUUCUAAACCCAAAGUUAGAGGUUCGAAUCCUCUCGGAAUCACAA
rnacentral:tRNA from 1 species